ACGGGCGUAGCUCAGUUGGUAGAGUACUGGAUUCCAAAUCCAAUGGUCGUGGGUUCGAACCCUACCGCCCGUGCAA
rnacentral:tRNA from 1 species